rnacentral:lncRNA from 9 species
AAACAAGAGAAGGAAAGCAAGACAGAGUGAGCCCAGCCGGGGCUGUGGAUAAAGAUGGCACUCAGCCGUUGCGUGAAGCUGAAUGAUGGGCACCUCAUGCCCGUUCUUGGACUUGGCACUCUCGUCUCUGAAGGGGUAAGCUGCACCCGGGGGGCUGAAGGUUGAUGCACGCAGCCUGGAAGGGCUGUCGGCAGACAGAUGGUCUUGGGCCAAGGGCACUCUGGUCAUUUGGAAGGACUCACCUGAACUUUCAUUUCACCAUUUCUAACUCUGCCUGAAGUGGAAUGACAAGCUGCGGACUCUGGGGAUUUGGUGGGUGGAUUAUCCUUAUUGUUAUUAUUAUUAUGUUGGUUACUUAAUGUAGAUUGAACUCUUACCAUGCAUCUUAAGUACUUUACGUGUAUUAUCCUUUAAUUUAAGUACUUUAAUUCCUCAACAGUAUCCUAGGUUAGUACCAUUUUUUCUUCUUUCUUGCACUUUGGUUUAAAGCCUCAGCUCAGGCAGCUCUUCCAGCCCCCAUCUGCUGCCUCCGUCAGAGCCACCCUGAGCCAGAUCUCCUCCUGUGGGCAGAGGGCACAGAUGGAGAGGCUCAUUCACAGAACGACUGCAUAGCAGCUUUGCUGUAGGUUCUUGGGGGCUGCGAAUUUGGGCAGAGAAUUUGCAUCUUCAAAACCUGUUAUCAUAUGAUAAGCCAUUAUUAUUCUGAGCAUUAGCCCUAGAAAAGGCAAAAAGACAAAAAAAAAAAAAAAAAAAAAAGGAGAACUCUCUAAAUGUAAGAUCAACAAGUGUUUGAAAGACAACCAGAAAGAUUUUCCUGUUACAGACAAGAAUAAAUAUAACUAGAAGGAGAAUGGUGUUUGGUGGAGGGUGGGAGGAGAGGGAGGUGGAUCCAGGAAAGCUCUCCCAGGCUCAGGAGAUUCUUGGAGAGGUCUUGCAGGAAGGUUGACCUUCCUUCCAAUACUUGCUUAAGUUCAAGGCUGUGCCAAAUUCUAGGGGUGGUGGGGAAGGAAAAACUGUCUAAUGUUUGGUUAAAUGCAGAUAUUAUGUCCAGAUUGCCAAACUCUCCCUUUAUUUGAAAAAAAAGAAAAAGGUCUUUCUGUUUUCUGUCUAAAGCUUUGGGAUUGAUGAACAGUAAACCUGAACUUUGUGACAUGGAGCAGGGAAGGAGAAGGUGUGGGAGAGGAGAGGUAGGAACUCAGCAGAAGAGUUCCCAGGCUUGUGCACCUGGACGCUGAGGACAGGCAAGGCUGCCCUGCACCCUCUUCCUGCCCCCAUCCACCUGGAAAGUCCCCCAGGUCCGGGGGUGGGGGCAGCUCCUUGGGGAGGGUUUAAUGUGAUUCUUCCCUUCCUCCAGGUUUUUGACUUUGAAUUGCCUCCAGAAGAUAUGAAAACAAUCGAUGGCCUCAACCAAAAUUUAAGAUAUUUUAAGUUACUCUUGUAAGUGACUUGUCCAUUGUUUCUCACGGUCGUUUCCCGCAGCAUGUAAGUCAGCAGAGGAGCUAGGCUUCCCUAAACCAGGAAGACAGUCCUGAUCUGAAGUGUAGGCGUAAAGCAGGGGCUUCCUGCAGACCUCAGACCAGAGGCUUCCUCCAGGGCUCAGUCUCUGACCCAGCAGGAUUGUGAGCAAGCCCAGGACAACCAUAAGGGACUCACCAAAGUUCCCAUCAUGGUGCGGUCACUACUUUACACCCUCAUCUCUGUGUCUGGUGUCCUUGCUGUCAGGGUCAACAGUCCCAUUAGACACAGAAGGUGCAGAGCCUGCAGUCCACUGUGCUUUCGGGAACUAUGAAAAUGUUUCACUUUUAAUUCUUUUUAAAAUCAGGAGAAAAAAUGGUCAUAUUGUUCGUGACUAUAUCAUAAUGGAUCCAGCCUGGAUUACACUCAUUUUCAUCCUAACUCAAUGUAAAAUGCAGCAUCCGUGUUUUUCAUGGAGGGGGUCCAUGAAGGCCAAUGAGCACGGGUGCUGUGAAGUCACAGGGUGGCCCUGCUUCCACCCCUCCCCUCGUGAGCCUGGUGUCUUUUCUCCUUAAUGGGCAUUUCUUUUCCGAGACACCACCCAUUUCUUCCCAGUUUAUGGGUUCACCGGCCUUUUUUCCCUAUCACAGCUCUAUCUCCUUAUUGUUAUGAUUACAACGAAGGACUUGCCAAAGGACCGUGAACUGAAUUGAUCCUGCAGGGAGUGACUGCCGUGUCCUCAGCAGGACACACCCAGAUACGGUUCUCCAGAUCUCUGGUUUCUUGAGUCAAGAUGUACCCCCGAGGUGCCUUCUUCCAUCAGGAGUUCAUCCCCUAGGGAGUCCCUCCCUCCUUGAUUCCGACUUCUUCACACACAUGGAAUUCCAUGUAUAGUUACUGCAGGAAGAUGUCAGGAUUGAACCAAAGAAGACUAAUCAAACAGAGAAGUUUGGAAGGGAGUUUAGAGAAGGGAAUACAUAUUAGUGAUAAAAUGAAUAUUUAGUUUCCAAUGAAAUAUGCCAAAACUCUCCUUCUUGUUUAUAAAGCUAUAUCAUGAUUCUGAGAAAAGAUAUUAUAAAUGAAAAAAAAUGAAAAGUUACUUUUCUGUACUCAAAAUCCUUCAUCAGGCUAUGGGUGCCUAGACUUACUCAUCUUUAUGUGCGUAUGUCAACAGCACAGCUCUUGGCGCAUGGAAUAAUCAGAAUGGCGCUCUUUAAUGAAUUAAAUUGAAAAGGACAAAUUUUGAAAUAAAAACAAGAACAUGGAAUAAAGGAAAACAGCAAUAAUACUAAUUAGUGAUGAACAAGUAUUCUCAUACGUUAUAAAUUAAGAAAAUAGCAAUCCCAUUUUGUAGGUAUGAUUAUUUAGGUAUACACGGUAUCUCCUGAAUUGAUUAGAAGUUGUUUAAAGGAGGCGCCCUGUAUUUUUGGGGGUGCUCAAUUUUUUUUUUUGGUUGAAUAGAUAUACGAAAAAAAGCAGGUAAUUCCUUAACUAUGAUAAUCAUCACCUAGGGUCAACAAUUCCACCUGGGGCUGAAGUGGCCUCCAGCUUUCGCCUAGUCCUUGCACCCUCUUAUAAAUUGUAAUCUGCAUCAAACUAAUUGUCUCUGUGGAGUUCACAUUACCCGUGACUGUGGAAUUGGGCACACAGGUGCAGUUUGCACCUGGACCAGGGGACUGCAUGUAUGCGUAGCGGGGUGGAAAGAGAGGUGUGUUUGUCACUUAGUGUUGGCCCUCUCUUUGCCAGCAUGGCGCAGUCCAUAAACUAAUAUCCCUUUUCUCUUUCAGUGCUGUCGAUCACCCUUACUACCCCUAUUCUGAAGAGUACUGAGCGGGAGCUCUCCAUCGGGUGGGCUACCAGAACCUCUUGCUUCUCGGGCUGUGAAGAGGGUUUCUGUACUUGGUAGAGGUGUUUAAUAAAAUAAAUGUCUGAACUUCUGAAAGCUUGCCUUUCCUUUAAAAAAAAAACAUUUUAUGAAAUAAAAUCUUCAAUACA